UACGGGGGGGGCAAGCGUUGUUCGGAAUUACUGGGCGUAAAGGCUCGUAGGCGGCCAACUAAGUCAUACGUGAAAUCCCUCGGCUUAACCGGGGAACUGCGUCUGAUACUGGAUGGCUUGAGUUCGGGAGAGGGAUGCGGAAUUCCAGGUGUAGCGGUGAAAUGCGUAGAUAUCUGGAGGAACACCGGUGGCGAAGGCGGCAUCCUGGACCGAUACUGACGCUGAUGAGCGAAAGCCAGGGGAGCAAACGGG
rnacentral:rRNA from 1 species